AUUGAACGCUGGCGGCAUGCCUUACACAUGCAAGUCGAACGGCAGCGGACCUUCGGGUGCCGGCGAGUGGCGAACGGGUGAGUAAUAUAUCGGAACGUACCUUUCAGUGGGGGAUAACGUAGCGAAAGUUACGCUAAUACCGCAUAUUCUGUGAGCAGGAAAGCAGGGGAUCGCAAGACCUUGCGCUGAUUGAGCGGCCGAUAUCAGAUUAGCUAGUUGGUGAGGUAAAGGCUCACCAAGGCGACGAUCUGUAGCGGGUCUGAGAGGAUGAUCCGCCACACUGGAACUGAGACACGGUCCAGACUCCUACGGGAGGCAGGCAGUGGGGAAUUUUGGACAAUGGGCGAAAGCCUGAUCCAGCCAUGCCGCGUGAUAGAUGAAGGCCCUACUGGGUUGUAAAUAGUCUUUUAAUCUGGGAAGAAACUCCUCUAUUCUUAGAGGCCUGACGGUACCAGAGGAAUAAGCAACCGGCUAAACUCCGUGCCAG
rnacentral:rRNA from 1 species